GGGGGCGUAGCUCAGAUGGUAGAGCGCUCGUUUAGCAAGCGAGAGGUACGGGGAUCGAUACCCCGCUCCUCCU
rnacentral:tRNA from 1 species